AGACCUAUGAAGGUCGAAGGGGAAGAAAAGCUGUAUCGAUUGUUGAGAUCUGGCGACUUGUUUAAAUUUCAUCAGCCUCACUUCUAUGAACUCUCAGAGCUGAUUACCAACUCCUACCACUGUUAACCCUCAUCCAGGAACAAGCUUAUGUCUUUAACAUUCUGAGUGGGCUUCAGCAUCCUUGCAUAUGUUCAAUUCUUAAAAACCUGUUGAAAUAAAAGAUCAGGAGACAUAGGAAGGAUGCCAGAAGAGAGCGUGGCCUCACGUGUACCAGCUCUCUGCUCUCCUUUGCCUUGGGACGUUCCAUCCCUGGAAGUUUCCCUGCCCACAUCUUUGUAGAGAGUCCAUUCUCCAAGCUUCAGUGUGUCAUCUGUGAGGACCGUGACCCACCUGGUACAUCGCCUCAGGGCAUUCAUUUCAGGCUCCUUCUAAAUGGCCAAGAUCUUGCUUUCUUUUGUAUGUUUGCAAAGAAUAUAUAGUACACUUCCUUGAUCUGUGGUUCCUAAAGUGUGAUUCCCAACAAGCAGCAUCAGGAUCAUCUGGAAACUUGAUAGAAAUGUAAAUUCUACAGUCCCUCCUUGGAGCUACAGAUUCAGAAAUUCUGAAGUUUAAGUCCAGCAGUUGGUUAUAAUAAGCUCUCUAGGUGAUUCUGACUUGCACCAAGGCACCCUUGGAAAUGCAAUGCUACAUCUCAAUGGGAUUUUCCAGUACAAAGAUUCUUUUCAAAUAACAUAAUUGUGGAUACACACCACUCCUACAGUGUCUUCUGCCAGCCUAACAAGCAUAGCAAGAAGAUAUAGCCCCACAACCACUUUAUGCACAAAGUUAGAAGCAUAAAAUCUCAUGGAAGGAGACCGAUUAUCUACAGAAGAGGUUGUCUUGCCAUUUCUCUCAUGUUAGAGGUAAACCUCAGGUUCUCCUCCUGCCUUUUGCUAAGUAUAUGUCUUGAUGACAAGCCUUCUGCUGAUGAGCUGUGUUUCUGGACCGAUCAUGGUAGAAGUCAAUUAACGUGUCCCUCACUUGGGGUUUCUCAAGGCUGCACUGAUGAGGAAACUGAAACAGAAAAUCCAGAGUAAAUUCCACCAGGCCACACAGCAAGGUCUGAUAGAGCCAGGAGAGACUUUAUGAAAUCCAGACUCUCACACUAAUGCUCUAUCAGCUAGACCUCCAUGUGAGUCUCCCCAAUGUAGGUAGGAAGUGCUUUCCCUAAAAUGCUCAUAAAGCAAAUCAGAGCAAUGCUGCAUUCCAUGUGAUUUCUAAUUUGAAAUGCAAACAAUUGCCAAUUUGUUUGACUUGUAUUUAUAAUUAUUUCCUUGUGAAUUACUCAUCACUAAAUGCUUUAUAAAUAUUUUCUCUUUUUUUCCUCAAUGUCUAUGGAAUGAUCACAGCAUAGAAAAUGUUGGCUUUCAAGGAUUUAUUAAUAUCUCCUUUUGAAAUAACAUGUAUUUGUAAGACAGAAUAAAAUCACUUUAAAGAAACAAA
rnacentral:lncRNA from 1 species